GACGAACCGUGCGAACGUUGUUCGGAAUCACUGGGCGUAAAGCGCACGUAGGCGGCUUCUUAAGUCAGGGGUGAAAUCCUGGAGCUCAACUCCAGAACUGCCUUUGAUACUGGGAAGCUUGGAGUCCGGGAGAGGUGAGUGGAACUGCGAGUGUAGAGGUGAAAUUCGUAGAUAUUCGCAAGAACACCAGUGGCGAAGGCGGCUCACUGGCCCGGUACUGACGCUGAGGUGCGAAAGCGUGGGGAGCAAACAGG
rnacentral:rRNA from 1 species